rnacentral:rRNA from 1 species
AUUGAACGCUGGCGGCAGGCCUAACACAUGCAAGUCGAGCGGAUGAAGGGAGCUUGCUCCUGGAUUCAGCGGCGGACGGGUGAGUAAUGCCUAGGAAUCUGCCUGGUAGUGGGGGAUAACGUCCGGAAGCGGGCGCUAAUACCGCAUACGUCCUGAGGGAGAAAGUGGGGGAUCUUCGGACCUCACGCUAUCAGAUGAGCCUAGGUCGGAUUAGCUAGUUGGUGGGGUAAAGGCCUACCAAGGCGACGAUCCGUAACUGGUCUGAGAGGAUGAUCAGUCACACUGGAACUGAGACACGGUCCAGACUCCUACGGGAGGCAGCAGUGGGGAGUAUUGGACAAUGGGCGAAAGCCUGAUCCAGCCAUGCCGCGUGUGUGAAGAAGGUCUUCGGAUUGUAAAGCACUUUAAGUUGGGAGGAAGGGCAGUAAGUUAAUACCUUGCUGUUUUGACGUUACCAACAGAAUAAGCACCGGCUAACUUCGUG